rnacentral:miRNA from 1 species
ACGCGAGCCCAGGUUCCCGGACUCCUAGUCCAGUGCUCUUUGCAGCAGGAUCUGUGCUGACUGGAGAGUCUGAAGGGUCCUGGCU